rnacentral:rRNA from 1 species
ACUCAAAUGAAUUGACGGGGGCCCGCACAAGCAGUGGAUCAUGUGGUUUAAUUCGAAGCAACGCGCAGAACCUUACCUAGAUUUGACAUCCUCUGACCGCCGUAGAAAUACGGUUUUUGUAGCAAUACAACAGAGAGACAGGUGCUGCAUGGCUGUCGUCAGCUCGUGUGGUGACAUGUUGGGUUAAGUCCCUUAACGAGCGCAACCCCUGUCUUUAGUUGCCAUCAUUAAGUUGGGCACUCUAAAGAGACUGCCGUGGUUAACACGGAGGAAGGUGGGGAUGACGUCAAGUCCUCAUGGCCUUUAUAUCUAGGGCGACACACGUGAUACAAUGGACGGUACAAAGAGACGCAAAUGGGUGACCACAAGCAAAUCUCAAAAAACCGUUCUCAGUUCGGAUUGAAGUCUGCAACUCGACUUCAUGAAGGUGGAAUUGCUAGUAAUCGCGGAUCAGAACGCCGCGGUGAAUACGUUCCCGGGCCUUGCACACACCGCCCGU